UGUAGCUCAGUGGGUAGAGUGCCUAUCUGGGAUACACAAAGCCCUGGGUUUGAUUCCCAGCA
rnacentral:tRNA from 1 species